UCCCUCUAGUUUUAUCCCUGCAGCUGAAAACAUAGCAGUUUCAGAGAAACUGCUAUGUUUCACUAAGGGUUAAUCCAGCUUCUAGUGGCGGUCUCACUGACAGCCGCUAGAGGCGCUUCCGCGAUUCUCACUGUGAAAAUCACAGUGAGAAGACAAGCUGGACGUCCAUAGGAAAGCAUUUAGUAAUGCUUUCCUAUGGGCGGUUUGAAUGCGUGCGUGGCUCUUGCCGUGAAUGCACAUUUGAAUCUUAGGUCAGCAGAGGGAGGAGAAUUCCCCAGAGCCGAGGGAGCCCGGCGCAGGAG